UGGUCUCAUGGGGAGGUGGUAAAGGUGGACUCGGAGGGCCGUUAAAAGCACGUUAGAAACCGAGAGAAGACGGUUCCCUGCACAGGCUCGCACUGCGCACACACGGGGCCGCCUGCUCCUCAGGUGCCUGGAGCAGGGAGACCCUCCCUCCCCAGCAUGGGGAGCCUCUUGCAUAAACCCACAAAAGGCCUCGUAGAUAAUCUCACGUGUCUGGACGUGGGACUCCUCACGCGUGUGUACCAGGCUCGCCGAAAUUCACUGGGAAGGCCCCGGAGGAGGAAGAGGAUAUCAACAGCAAGAGAAGAGAAUCCCUCUUCUUUAUGGACCCUACCUUCUGUUGGGAUGGCAGACACGAUAAAGGAACAAGAUAAAUAAGGCACGUAUAAGGUACAUUAGAGAGUGACACAUGUUGAGAAAAAUAUUAAAUUGGGAGGGAGGUGGGAAAUAGGGUUGGAGCCCUUGUGUAUCCGUCAGCUGUUGCUAUGGUGAUGCUACGUAACAAACAUCCCAAACCUCAGUCGCUUGCAAACUCUGACAUUUAUUUCUCGCUCAGGGGUUCUGCUUCAGACCUCGGGAUGGGUUUAGGUCUCCACCUGUGUCUCUGCCGGUGCUCAGACUGAGGGCAGCGUCUGCUGGGCAUUCGCUUCUUGCGGUGCAGGGUCGAACCCCCCACAUCGAAAGCCUCCUGCAGAAUGUGGCCGAAGUUACAUCUCCUCACACCUCACUGCCCAGAGAGUUAAGGGGCCAAGUAGGAGUUGGAGGGGUGGGGACGUGCACUCUGCCUGCCGUGGACUGUGGCCAUGUCACAGGGGGAAACCGUCACUGACCAGGUGGUUUUUGGGUAAGGACCUCUAGGAAGCGAGUGACCCAGCCCCUCAGAUAAUGGAAGGAAGUGCAAAGGUGACAUCUGAGCGACUGCAGGGGCCAGUGUGGCUGAGCAUCAGGAAUGGGGGCAGGGAGGGAGAGGCCAGACCUCAAAAGGCAUCGCAGGUCAUGGUAAGACUUAGGCUUUUGCUCGGGCGGGAUGGAAUGACAGGCGAGGUCUGGGGCACAUGAAUGGCUUAUGUGACUUUAGGGGAUCACCCUGGCUGCUGGCUGAAGAGCUUCUGGGGGGCAAAUGCGGAAAUGGGCAGCCCAGCAAGGACGCAACUGUAAUUAUCCAGGCGAGAGGUGAUGGCGUCUCAGAUUGGGGGGGCUGUGGGCUGGUGAAUCGGACUUGAAUUCUGGGUAUUCUUUGCAGAGAGCAGUGAAAAGAUUUGUGGAGAAGUCAGGUUUGGGAAGUGUAUUCGUUUGCUCAUCCAUUCAUCCAUCCAUCCACCCACCCAUCCAUCCGUAUCUGUCACGUGUCUCUUUGUGUCCAUCAUCCAUCCGUCUU
rnacentral:lncRNA from 1 species